rnacentral:tRNA from 1 species
AUCCAUUGUCGUCCAGCGGCUAGGAUAUCUGGCUUUCACCCAGGAGACCCGGGUUCGAUUCCCGGCAAUGGAAA